AACCCACCCAUCUUCAACCCCGUCACCUAUGGAGUGACCAUUCUUGACAACAGGCCAGUUGGAGACGUGGUUCUCAGAGUGACAGCUUCAGAUGCUGAUAACCUGCCCGGCAGCCAGGUGGUAUAUGAGUUUGUUAACCGGCCUGCCUUCUUUGCCCUCGAUGAUUUAUCUGGGAACAUCACCCUGGAAAACAGUGUUCUCUUUGAUUCCAACACACAGUAUAAUUUCCAAGUUCGAGCAUAUGACAGGUUGGACAAACCUCGAAGUGUAACAGCUGAUGUGACGGUGUCUGUCAUCAGGAAUGCCAACGCUCCGCGCUUCCUACGUCAACCGUAUCAGACAACAAUCUCUGAGUACUAUACUGUAGGUUCUGAGGUCCUCAACACUACAGCAGUGGAUCUGGAUGGGGAUGUGCCACUGUACUCCUUUGUGAACCCGACAAAUGAGUUUGCCAGCGGGUUUUACAUUGACCCUCGUGAUGGAAUCAUCUAUCUGAGGAGUUCCAUGGAGAGG